CAAGACGAGCAUAAUAAUAGUAAAAAGUCGCAACUACUCAAACAGAUACUGAGCAUCAACCAUCCGAAAUUGUAAUAGUUCACAAAACUUGAUUCAACAUCCCAAUUUAAAAACGCAAGAAAAUCCCAACACAUAGUUUUAGACGACGACAGCAGAAACAGAAACAGUAAACUAAACCAACACUUGAACACAAGAGGAACUCCUCAUUUCUUCUUGGCAGCAGACUUGGUGACCUUGGCACCGGAUGGGUCCUUCUUCUCC
rnacentral:lncRNA from 1 species